ACGCUUUCGGGGACUAGGUGGAUAGUGAAUCUUUGGUUUUAUAGAUGGGGAAAUUGAGGCUCUGAGCUAGUUGUUGGUAUUGAAUCAGUGUCACAAGGGAUUUGGUUUGUCUUUAGACAUCUUGAACCCCAAACUAAGGCUCUAGCAAUUGAGUUUUCAAGCUUCUCAGUAAUUAAUAGGCAGAUGGUUUUCCUUCUUUAGCUUCCUUCCUCCCUCCCUCCUUUCCUUCCUUUUUUCUUUUCUUCCUUCCUUCCAUCCUUCAUUCCUUCCUUUCUUCCUUCAUCCUUCUCCCCAUUUGUCCCACCUGCCCUUCUUUCUAUCUUAAUCUUCAUACCCAUCUUCUCUCUUCCUUUACAUUGCCUUCCAUCUUUUCUUUCCUGUUUAUUGUUCUUUCAGUAAAAAUGGUAACAAUAAAAAGUAUGGAGAAUUGAAGAACAAAGAAAUGAUUUUAAAAUUUCAGGAGAGUGAUUUCUUCUGGGAGUGAAGGAGGAGAGUGUGUUAUAGUAGAGGGGAUUAGGGGUUCAUCCAUUUUACUGUGGGACUUGAACAAACACACCCUAACCCCUCUCCAGCUCUGUUUUCUCAUAUCAUCAGGGGUUGCGCUCAGUUAUCUUCAAAGGCUUUUCCAGAUCUUACAUUCUCUGAGUCCAUAAAAACAGAUUGUGUAAGAUAAAACUUUGGUUUCCUUGCUCUGGGCUAGAUGUCCUGAAUAUAGUAGAUAGAUAAGGGUCAUGGGAAUAUUACUUAACUUCUCUGUGUCUUAAUUCCUUAUCUGUGAAAUGUGGACAACAAUAGUACCUCGUUGUGAAAAUUACUACAGUACAUGGACAUGGGCAGGAGGAGGACUUAUCUGAUGCCACAGACCAGUGGCUUUCAGAGAGGGUACACGUAAUUGUCUGCUGUCUGCCGUCUGCGGUUGCUCACUGUGUCAGUGACUGGGUAAAGUGUUUCCACUUCAGCCACAUCCUCCAGUCCAGCUUUGUCAGUAGUAAAGAUGACAUUUUGAUCUCUA